rnacentral:rRNA from 2 species
UUAAGCGACUAAGCGUACACGGUGGAUGCCCUGGCAGUCAGAGGCGAUGAAGGACGUGCUAAUCUGCGAUAAGCGUCGGUAAGGUGAUAUGAACCGUUAUAACCGGCGAUUUCCGAAUGGGGAAACCCAGUGUGAUUCGUCACACUAUCAUUAACUGAAUCCAUAGGUUAAUGAGGCGAACCGGGGGAACUGAAACAUCUAAGUACCCCGAGGAAAAGAAAUCAACCGAGAUUCCCCCAGUAGCGGCGAGCGAACGGGGAGCAGCCCAGAGCCUGAAUCAGUGUGUGUGUUAGUGGAAGCGUCUGGAAAGGCGCGCGAUACAGGGUGACAGCCCCGUACACAAAAAUGCACAUACUGUGAGCUCGAUGAGUAGGGCGGGACACGUGGUAUCCUGUCUGAAUAUGGGGGGACCAUCCUCCAAGGCUAAAUACUCCUGACUGACCGAUAGUGAACCAGUACCGUGAGGGAAAGGCGAAAAGAACCCCGGCGAGGGGAGUGAAAAAGAACCUGAAACCGUGUACGUACAAGCAGUGGGAGCACAGAGCAAUCUGUGUGACUGCGUACCUUUUGUAUAAUGGGUCAGCGACUUAUAUUCUGUAGCAAGGUUAACCGAAUAGGGGAGCCGAAGGGAAACCGAGUCUUAACUGGGCGUUAAGUUGCAGGGUAUAGACCCGAAACCCGGUGAUCUAGCCAUGGGCAGGUUGAAGGUUGGGUAACACUAACUGGAGGACCGAACCGACUAAUGUUGAAAAAUUAGCGGAUGACUUGUGGCUGGGGGUGAAAGGCCAAUCAAACCGGGAGAUAGCUGGUUCUCCCCGAAAGCUAUUUAGGUAGCGCCUCGUGAAUUCAUCUCCGGGGGUAGAGCACUGUUUCGGCAAGGGGGUCAUCCCGACUUACCAACCCGAUGCAAACUGCGAAUACCGGAGAAUGUUAUCACGGGAGACACACGGCGGGUGCUAACGUCCGUCGUGAAGAGGGAAACAACCCAGACCGCCAGCUAAGGUCCCAAAGUCAUGGUUAAGUGGGAAACGAUGUGGGAAGGCCCAGACAGCCAGGAUGUUGGCUUAGAAGCAGCCAUCAUUUAAAGAAAGCGUAAUAGCUCACUGGUCGAGUCGGCCUGCGCGGAAGAUGUAACGGGGCUAAACCAUGCACCGAAGCUGCGGCAGCGACGCUUAUGCGUUGUUGGGUAGGGGAGCGUUCUGUAAGCCUGCGAAGGUGUGCUGUGAGGCAUGCUGGAGGUAUCAGAAGUGCGAAUGCUGACAUAAGUAACGAUAAAGCGGGUGAAAAGCCCGCUCGCCGGAAGACCAAGGGUUCCUGUCCAACGUUAAUCGGGGCAGGGUGAGUCGACCCCUAAGGCGAGGCCGAAAGGCGUAGUCGAUGGGAAACAGGUUAAUAUUCCUGUACUUGGUGUUACUGCGAAGGGGGGACGGAGAAGGCUAUGUUGGCCGGGCGACGGUUGUCCCGGUUUAAGCGUGUAGGCUGGUUUUCCAGGCAAAUCCGGAAAAUCAAGGCUGAGGCGUGAUGACGAGGCACUACGGUGCUGAAGCAACAAAUGCCCUGCUUCCAGGAAAAGCCUCUAAGCAUCAGGUAACAUCAAAUCGUACCCCAAACCGACACAGGUGGUCAGGUAGAGAAUACCAAGGCGCUUGAGAGAACUCGGGUGAAGGAACUAGGCAAAAUGGUGCCGUAACUUCGGGAGAAGGCACGCUGAUAUGUAGGUGAAGUCCCUCGCGGAUGGAGCUGAAAUCAGUCGAAGAUACCAGCUGGCUGCAACUGUUUAUUAAAAACACAGCACUGUGCAAACACGAAAGUGGACGUAUACGGUGUGACGCCUGCCCGGUGCCGGAAGGUUAAUUGAUGGGGUUAGCGCAAGCGAAGCUCUUGAUCGAAGCCCCGGUAAACGGCGGCCGUAACUAUAACGGUCCUAAGGUAGCGAAAUUCCUUGUCGGGUAAGUUCCGACCUGCACGAAUGGCGUAAUGAUGGCCAGGCUGUCUCCACCCGAGACUCAGUGAAAUUGAACUCGCUGUGAAGAUGCAGUGUACCCGCGGCAAGACGGAAAGACCCCGUGAACCUUUACUAUAGCUUGACACUGAACAUUGAGCCUUGAUGUGUAGGAUAGGUGGGAGGCUUGGAAGUGUGGACGCCAGUCUGCAUGGAGCCGACCUUGAAAUACCACCCUUUAAUGUUUGAUGUUCUAACGUUGACCCGUGAUCCGGGUUGCGGACAGUGUCUGGUGGGUAGUUUGACUGGGGCGGUCUCCUCCUAAAGAGUAACGGAGGAGCACGAAGGUUGGCUAAUCCUGGUCGGACAUCAGGAGGUUAGUGCAAUGGCAUAAGCCAGCUUGACUGCGAGCGUGACGGCGCGAGCAGGUGCGAAAGCAGGUCAUAGUGAUCCGGUGGUUCUGAAUGGAAGGGCCAUCGCUCAACGGAUAAAAGGUACUCCGGGGAUAACAGGCUGAUACCGCCCAAGAGUUCAUAUCGACGGCGGUGUUUGGCACCUCGAUGUCGGCUCAUCACAUCCUGGGGCUGAAGUAGGUCCCAAGGGUAUGGCUGUUCGCCAUUUAAAGUGGUACGCGAGCUGGGUUUAGAACGUCGUGAGACAGUUCGGUCCCUAUCUGCCGUGGGCGCUGGAGAACUGAGGGGGGCUGCUCCUAGUACGAGAGGACCGGAGUGGACGCAUCACUGGUGUUCGGGUUGUCAUGCCAAUGGCACUGCCCGGUAGCUAAAUGCGGAAGAGAUAAGUGCUGAAAGCAUCUAAGCACGAAACUUGCCCCGAGAUGAGUUCUCCCUGACUCCUUGAGGGUCCUGAAGGAACGUUGAAGACGACGACGUUGAUAGGCCGGGUGUGUAAGCGCAGCGAUGCGUUGAGCUAACCGGUACUAAUGAACCGUGAGGCUUAACCUU